UACGAAGGGGGCUAGCGUUGCUCGGAAUCACUGGGCGUAAAGGGCGCGUAGGCGGCUUGACAAGUCGAGGGUGAAAGCCUGUGGAUCAACCACAGAAUUGCCUUCGAUACUGUUAGGCUUGAGACCGGAAGAGGACAGCGGAACUGCGAGUGUAGAGGUGAAAUUCGUAGAUAUUCGCAAGAACACCAGUGGCGAAGGCGGCUGUCUGGUCCGGUUCUGACGCUGAGGCGCGAAAGCGUGGGGAGCAAACAGG
rnacentral:rRNA from 1 species